rnacentral:rRNA from 1 species
GACGAACGCUGGCGGCGUGCUUAACACAUGCAAGUCGAACGGAAAGGCCCUGCUUUUGUGGGGUGCUCGAUUGGCGAACGGGUGAGUAACACGUGAGUAACCUGCCCUUGACUUUGGGAUAACUUCAGGAAACUGGGGCUAAUACCGGAUAGGAUCUCCUGCUGCAUGGUGGGGGUUGGAAAGUUUCGGCGGUUGGGGAUGGACUCGCGGCUUAUCAGCUUGUUGGUGGGGUAGUGGCUGACCAAGGCUUUGACGGGUAGCCGGCCUGAGAGGGUGACCGGCCACAUUGGGACUGAGAUACGGCCCAGACUGCUACGGGAGGCAGCAGUGGGGAAUAUUGCACAAUGGGCGGAAGCCUGAUGCAGCAACGCCGCGUGCGGGAUGACGGCCUUCGGGUUGUAAACCGCUUUCGCCUGUGACGAAGCGUGAGUGACGGUAAUGGGUAAAGAAGCACCGGCUAACUACGUG